UCCCCAGGGGAACGGUAAAGUUCUGACUAAGGGUCAUAGUUUCGUUUGGUUACAUAGUUGUAUGCCUAGGUCUGAACUCAUGGAUUGCUACACCGGAGAUCUGCACAUUUCAUUGCACGUAAAAUCUAUUUCAAAAGGGGGAAAAAAGGAACCACCAGCAAAUAGUGAAUUCUAAUGAUACGCUUGGUGGAGUGUUUAAGGAUGAAAUGUACUUACAUCUGCAACUCACUUGGAAAUGCACGGAAAGAUGAAGCCGUGGCUCAGAGAGAUUGAGUUGUCUGCCUGAAGAUUGAUGUCCUGCUCCAUCUGUCAGCAGGGUGACUUGAAUUUAACCAUGGAGAGACGGCCCUUUGUUCUGGGGAGACACCACCAUGGACCUGUUCGUUUUCUACAGCUACUCUUCCAAAGGGACUCCGGUGCCAUUAUUAACCUGAACGCUGACGAGUCAAGUGUUUAUUUUGAUCGUGGAAGCUGGAUGUAUCUCUUAUCUGUGACACAAAAAUACAAGGCAAAUGAAUAGGAGAAACUGAGACCCAGAAAGGAGGGCCCUUGGCUGAGGCCAGAGACCAAGGCCCACAUCUCUGGUACACCCUGCAUAUCACCCAGAGCAGGUCUGUGCACAAAGGAGGUAGGUGCUCACUCCAUCCCUGCCAACAAGCUGACGUUAACUUUCUGCAGGUGAGUUAGCACUACACAUUGACACGCGCU